GAAAAAGAAGAAAAUGAAGAGAGUCCAUCUCCUAUCUCUCUCUCUCCUCUCACUCUCACUCUCCCUAUCUAUCUCUCUCAGAUAUUCUUUUCAAGCAUUUAGGUUUUGAUCUUCUUUUUUUUCCUCUUCUUUCUUGAAGCUGUUCGAGUGAUAUGCAGAGAUUGGGUGAAUCGCUCUUGUAAAUUGCGGAAAAGACUCUCAACUCUACAUCUAUCAGGCAAGUGCACACUUAAGAUGAAGUUGUUGGGCGGGAACAGGAACCAAAUGACUUGCAUCACGUUUGAUUUCUCAAUUGGGUUCGGAUCACCCAUCAGCGAGAGUUAAGGUCAAGGCAUGGAUGGGGGACAGCUCUUGUCUACAUCUCGUAACAGAGAAAUCUCAGUGUCGUGAAAUCAACGCUACUCUACGAUCCAAUCCAGAGAUUUUCUGAAGAAAUAAUGCAGUUUCAUUGAUGUUUUCUCAUGAUACCUCGCUUUGGAGCAUUUUUAUUGUGAGUCGUGAACGGAUUUCAUUUUUCUGGAGAAUUUGAAGGAUUUCUUAGAAGUCAAUGUUUGCAUGUCAGUUGAGCUUGUCAAGGAGAAGGGCUUUAGAAUGAGAUCGUUAAUUAUGGAGGAGAUCCUGAAAGUGCAGUGGAUGUUGUAUGUGGGAGGAUUGGAGUUGCAUAUUUCAGAUUCAAGCAUAUGUUGUUGUCAUACAUGCAGAUCAAUUCUUCUAUGUUUGGGUGCAUGGCGAUUGGAUCUGAAAAUUUGAGAUUUUCAUUCAUUUAUUUCAUGACUUUUGGUUUACUUGUGAUGGGAUUCUGGUGGAAGGUCUGUUCUGGAAGGAUGUUAGCAAACUGAUUGAUGAUUAUAGUGGAGAUUCUCGAAAGAAUAAAUGAACUCAAACAGGACGAAUAGAUAUGACACGACAGGUCAGACAGCAGUUUGCGCUCAUCCCUUAAAAAUUUUAAGGCAAUUCGAAUUCUACUGGUUUUAAAGAACUCGAGUUCAUAGGAUUCAUGGCCAACCAUUUCUCUGGACAUCUCUUUGAAAACAGAAAUGAAUAUGUAACUUCUCUUUCCUACCGAGGCCAUUUUAAACCUC